GUGAUCUUGGGUGAAUGACUUAGCCUCUCGGCGUCAGUGUACUCGUCUGAGAAAAGGCGCUGUGGAGGCUUCUUCCUCCAGGACCAAAUCACAAUGAAUAGCCCCUAAGCCUCCCCACUUGGCCUGCUGAGCUAUCCUCUCCUGUGUCUGAUGAAUGCUGGAGUCAGUACAGCAAGUGCACUGGAUGGCUUUAUGUGCCAACUUGACACAAGCUAUGGAAUCAUCAGAGGAAGGAGCCUCAGCUGAGGAAGUGCCUCCUUGAGAUCCAGCUGGCCUCACAACCAAAUCCAAAGUUCCCAGAACCAGCCUCUCCC
rnacentral:lncRNA from 1 species